rnacentral:lncRNA from 1 species
AAAAAAAAAUCCUUGUAAAGGUGGAUCAGCCUGUACCAUGCCGACUAAAGAGAUUUUCAUGAACUUGCUAAGCUUUGAGAUUUGUUAGCAGUGAUAGAUUUUCCUUUCAUUUGCAACAAUGAAAGAUUGUCAAAAUUUACAAUAUUGUAAAUAGCUGAAUUACAUGAUUCUGGAGUUGGAAAUGUGGUUCAGAUUUAUUUGGUUCUAUAACUGACUCUGGCACUGGCUCACUGUGGCUUUUCUACAGACUGUGGAUGUUUUGGUGUUUCUGUUUUCCCAUUUGGAAGUGGCACCCAGUAUUACCAAUUAUAAGUACUUGGUAAUUUUUCUUUUACAGCAGAAAUUAUGUAAGUGUGAAUCAUACUGAGAUUGACCAAUUCUUUCCCAUUGCCAUUUGAUAUACAGAGAAAGACUUCCAGAACUAUAGCAUGAAAAUUAAAAGUCCAAAUCAAUAGCCCUGAUGUUCAGUUUGACAUGAGAGUGAAGCUGCAGGACUACUAUCUGUACCAGAGUAGGUUAUGGUUAUUUUCACCUGUGUAUUACAGGUCCAUAUUUUCAUUUACUCUCACUUCAGAAUCUUUAGAAAUUUAAUAAUUUUAUUUUUUUCUACACUCCCCCUAAACAGUCACGUCCUAGUAGUAUAUAGAUAGAUACUUUAAAAAAAAUUAAUAUCUUCAUGUCUUUUCUUAAAUUAACUCCCCAGAGACACCUGGGUGGUUCAGUCAGUUAAGUGUCUGCCUUUGGCUCAGGUCAGGAUCUUAGGGUCCUGGGAUCGAGUAUCAUGUGCAUCAAGCUCUCUAUUACAUGGGGAAUCAGCUUCUCUCUCUGUGUGUGCUCUCUCUUUCUCUCUCAAAUAAAUAAAUAAAAUCUAAAAAAAGGAUUAACUCCCCAAAGAGGAAACUGUCUCUUUAAAUCAGUGGUUAGAAAAAUAAAAUUUUUGUUGGGGACUUUUCCUAUCUUGUUUUAUCCUGUGAUGCCACUUACUUGGAAGCUGGAGCACUAGCUACAUUCUCUGGCUGUGGGAUGGUGCUCCGUCAUGCGAAGUACCUUAGAAACUUCCGGUAAAGAAACGAAACUAGAGAUUGUUACCAUUGUUACCAUAAUGGAAAUCUGAGUUCAGUUGUUGUUAAAAUCAUUAAAUGAAAGUGAGGGUAAAUUAAUAUCGACUUCUAUCUUCACCAGACAUUUGAAUUCAGUUACUAACUGAUACUUAAAAUUUUGUUCCUAAAUCUGGUAUUUAUUGUAGCAUAAUAUGAUAACUUGAAGCUCCUGUUAUUUCCCCUCCUCCUAAAAAUGUUGAAAUUAUAAGAGGGUGAAAGCUACAGGAGAGAGGGAAAAGGUAGAAUCAGAAUUCUGCGUGGGAUUUUAAUCUGUGUAGUGAUACAACCUAGUUGUCAAGAAGACGGGUCUUUAGAUGGUGAUUCCAGAAUGAUUUGGUACAGUGACAGGAAGGAAUUAUUUUUCUGGGUAUUUGCCUCUCACGAUACCUGGUAUACAGAUGACCCUAGGAUAAUUAACGGUAAUUAUAAAUCUUUUUAGAACCUACCCUGUUUGCACAUCUCCGUUGUGCAGCAGCUUUUUAAUAUAUGUAAUGAUGAGGAUGGAAGAGUUGCAAACUGGAGCAGUUCUUUUGUUUCCUCUCCUCCUUUUACUUGAAAAGCUUUUGAGAGAUGACACCGUUUUCAUAGCAACAUGACGUGAUUUUGUGUUUCUGCCAAGAAACUCACAAACUAAAAUAUGGAACAAAACCAUUGCUUCACCCCAACCUUGGUUUUGGAUUGUAUAAGCAAAAGCCUUUCAAACAUCAAAGCUUUCUCAGUGUUUUCGGUGGCGUAUUUCAGUUUUUGUCCACCUCAAAAGUUGAAUUGGCAUUUUCUGUUCUAUUUCUGGUUGCAGUAAAGCAAUAGUUCCAUCGCAUUAGUCAGCCUUCUAUCAGUACAAACCUUCGUGAUUCUUCUCUCCUGUGCUCUUACCAUUGUUUUCCAGCAACCAGUUUUCCUACAUCCAUUCUCUCUUACCUCUAUAUGACCACCUUGUAUAUGGUCAACGGAGUGAUCUUUCUAAAAUGCACAUUUGCUUUGUCAUUCCUUUGCGAAAAGUUCUUACGUAGGUUCUCCUUUUUGUAGAGCAACCUAACUUCUUGGUGUGACAGAUAAAGGGCUCUGUGGCUUUGCCUCGGCCUACCCUUUGUAGCAUCCUCAGCUGGCUGUUCCCUCUAGAGACCUUUUGUAAUUCAGGAAUUUGGAGCUACUUGCAGUUCACUGCCUUGGCAUAACCACUUGCUAGAGAUCAAUGCUUUUCAAGACUCAGUUCAGAUUUUAACUUUCUGUGAAGCUCUACCUGGCUUUCCCAGCCAGAGUUAAGUAUUUCAUCCAUGCUCCAAAGCAUCUUUAAACUUUCUCUGUUAAAAUAACAUCACAUUUCAUUAUAGCUCCCCCUCCCCACCCCUGGAAUUUCUCUGUCUUUGUAGUCUGUGUGGAGCUAGCACAAAUUAGGGGUUGAAUAAUUGUUUUUGAAGGAGCGAAGGUUAUAUAGAACCCAAACUUCUCUCUAUUCUUAUACUUUGACAAAUGAAAGCUUAGACUUCCCUGAGUCACGUGAGGGGUGCCAGUACUCAUGAGCAGGUGAGCACACAUGCAUGCUGGGCAAGCCAACAGAAGAUAAACAUGAAGGGAGAGGGAUUAUUUUGAAAAAGGGUAAUCAUUUGUUAGCUUUAAAUCAGAAAGAUUUACCAAAUCUGAAUUCUUGUUUCUAAAAACGAGGCUUACAGAAUUUUCCCAUAACUGUCAAUUUCUUGCUUGUAAUUCCUAAAUAUGCCCUAAAGAUGACCUUUCUCCUUUGCAGACACAGUCAGUGUACAAUCUAUAUGAACACAUAUAUUGCUCAUCUAUGCAAAAUUAUAAGAUUUAAGAAAGAAUCAAAACCAAUAGUGAAGGGGAAAUUUUCUCAAAAGGAUUAGUCUGCCAGAGAUAUAGGCUGAAUUUGUGUGAUUUCAGGUCAUUUAUAGCUGUCUGUUGCUAUUAUCACCCCUUCUAGAACACAGAGACUAACAUCUGUUACCUAAUGGCUUGUUUUUCUUUUAUGAUCCUAUAAAACCUUUCUACCAUGUUCCCAAAUCAUGAUAAAGGUCAACACAAAAAGUUCCUUAUAGUUAACAAUUUCUAAAAUUAAAUAGUAAUUAAAAAUUAAAAAUGCAUGUCUUUCAAUUAAAUGCUUUCUUCCUUUACUCACUCGAGAGACAUUUUUUGUACCUGCUGUAUACUUGGCCCUCGAUUAGACGCUGGGAAUACAAUAAAAUAGUUUGUCUUCACAAUUAUUUUCUCCAGCCUAAGAAUAUGGGAGGACAGGUUUUUCACUGAAUAUUUCUCAGGCGAUUUCAGAGUAGUCUUGUUCCACCCCCCCCCAAAAAAUAACCAAAUUCUAUGUCAUAAAGAAUUAAUCCCAUUUUUAUGUCCAGUUUUUGUACAGCCACAAAUAACGUUUGGCCAUCACUUGUCAAAUACGUUUUCCAUCAGUCCUAUAGAGCCCCAGUUCUACAACUGUAGAUGCCAUGUGAUCCAAGAGUCUAAUAGAUUUGUCAAACAAGGGUUAAAUUUCAAGUCCUUUUGAGGAAGGCGUAUAUCCCUAUUCAUGGCACAUACACCAAAAUAUAUGAGGUAUGCGUUGUAAACCCACAGCAGAGGGGAAAAAUUAUGAAGUCGUGCUUUCUGGUAUACUUCAAAGACUCCAUUUGAAGUAAUAGGUCAAUAUUUCCACCUCAGUUAUUUUUAAUGGGGAGUAGGGAGUAAUAAUAUUUAACAGGUAGCAUUAUAUCUGAGCAUAUAACAAAUAUACUGCUAGUAUUUGUAUGCCACAAUGCACUGGUGUAGAGGAAAGAAAACAAAACAUUUGAGUUAUAAACAAUUAAAUUCUCUGAAUAUUUAUUGAUGGUUAGGCAAUAGGGUUCCUUUAUAGGAAGGGAAAAAAGUCUUUACUGUAAGUAAGUAUGGAAAAAACCUUACUUGUAUGUAUAUUUACAUUUUGGUAGGCAUAUUUCGGAGUCAUUCUUUCCCAGCAGUAUAAAGUCAUCAACCAUUUCUUUGUUCUCUAGCAGAAGGAAAUUCUUAGUUUGAUGCAACUUCACUCUCUGUUCCGUAAAAGGGCCACAAAAGAAGGAGGCUCAGAAGACUCGGCCCUUAUUAUUUUACCUUUCAGUGAAGAUAAUCAGUAAUUAUUUGUCUCCUGUUUACCAUCGUGUUGAAAACCUAACAACAUAGUCCCUGUCGUCCCUUACAUUGCAAAAGAUAGUUUUAAUCUAGCCUUUGCCAUAUUAUUUAUAAUUGAGGAUUUACUACAUUUUGGUAGUCUGUUUUGAAAUUUUUACUUGUAUCUGAAAGAUGCAGAUCAUGUCUAUUUAUUACACAAUGGGCUCUGUUUGCUGCAGAAAAGAGUGGAACUUUUAACUGCUUAGCACACUUGCCAGUGAAAUACACCCGACAGAGCAGAGGUUAUAACUUUGGCUCUAGUUCGAACCUUUUAAUAAUGGUAAGAAAAUGUGUUUUGUUUGUUUACAUGCUGUUUACAAUGGCAUAAUUUUUUAAAUAUAUACGAUUGAGAUAUUUAUUGCAUACUAUUUUAAAGAUGUUUUAUGUGUUUUCACCUUUGGAAUAUAUUGUUACAGUUACUUAUACAGAUAAUUUGGGUGGCUUUGUUAAUGUAGCUAGUAAUUUUUAUGACUACUAAGUGACCAGUUUUCCGUGCCUUUUAUUGUGGGAUGCAUGAUUAUGUAUUUAUUGUACGGAAGUCACUGAUGUGUGUAUUUUUGUACUUUGCUGAGAGUAACGGUUGAUCUCGAUGUACACGAUGAUGAGAGAUGCCUUUCCCAAAGGCCACUGCCUUG